ACUGCAGAAUCCAGGCAGUCGUGGCUGCAAGACCAAGCGCUUGGAACAGAAGAAAACCACAGCAGUUAGUCUUCCCAAAAAGCAAAAGAGGGCAGAUGCAGGAUGUCAGCCCAGUUUCAUGUCCGACCACCUCUACGGGAGACGUCCGUCAGACUCCGUACAACCGGUCCGACCUCGGUCCAAGGUCUCCAAGAAUUCAAGUCAUCAUCUGGACGUUCACGUGGCAUCGGAAACGCAAUCAAGGGCGUGGCUCAGGAAGGACACGAAAAGGCUUCAGGAACUGGAACAGGAAGGAAAGGCUAUCGCAAGCGCAAGCAACCACAACCCCUAAAAGCACUUAGACUCUGAAAUGGAAUCAGAGGAGCGAGUGGUUCGGGAACAGGACGAGAACAGCGUCUCAACUCUAACCGCCUUGACCCUAACCACAGCUGAACCUAGACCUAAUCUCGGAGGGGAACCCACCCCAUAAUCCUAAAUCCUACCGGAAUGAAAUCUGGGCUGUGGAUUCAGGGAUCGGAAGAAAAAGAUACCAAACUACCAUGCUUGACCCGUGCAUCCACUAACCCUAACUUGCCCCCGCUUUUUCCCCCAAAAUAAAAACAUGGAUUGGAGCUGAUUGGAAGCACACGGUCUAUCUGGUGUUCCUCACUUCUAUAUAUUUGUAUGCAUAAAGUCUGAAAACAGAUUUCAAAAUAAAGACCAAUCCUCC